AAGAAACAACCUUUGUAAAGCAAUUAAUACAUGCAAGGUUAUUUAGCUGGGAACAUCUCACCAGAUAAACUAAUAAAAAUGGUCACUCUAUGAUACAUAUAAGUUAUUACAAAAGAAAACUAAUUCCGUCCGUCCUACUUCACUCCAAUUUUCCUCAGUCACCAAGGCAAUAAUUCAAUUACAAUCUCUUCAUCUUUUGCUCUCAUUCCACCAAGAAAGCAAGCCAAUGUUGCUCUGUUAUCCACGCUUAUAGAAUAUUAGUAGAACCUGAAGUUAAAAUAAUAGAGUAGAAAAUUGAACCUGGCGAGACAAUUUUAUCGAAGGCAUCUAUCUAACAUUGACAUGUCUGUACCAUAUGACUGCAAACUCACCAAAUAAACCAAUAAAAAUGAUCACUUUAUGAUACAUAUAACAUAAAUACAUUUAUUUGUCGUUGUUGGUCACAAACAAAUAUAAGUUAUUACAAAAGAAAAUUAAUUUCGUUCGUCCUUCGUCACUUCAAUUUUCCUUAGCCACCAUGGCAACAAUUCAAUUUACUACCUCUUCAUCUUCUACCCUCAUUCCACCAAGAAAGCAAGUCAGUCUUGCUCCGUUAUUCAAGCUUGUCGAACAUUAAUAGAACAUGAAGUUAAAAUAAUAGAAUUGAAAAUUGAACGUGACGAGACAAUAUUAUCGAAGGUACCUAAAGUUGACAUGUUCGUACCUUAAGCUUGCAACUUCGGAGUUUUUCAAGUUUCUGCGAUGUAUAACAAAUCUAAGUUUAAAUAAUACUUAAUGGAGAUUAAAUUAUAAUAAUGAAUGUUUAAAAAUUACAUAACGAAUACAUACCUUAAGAGAAGAACAAUAGUGGAAUAAGAAAAAAUUGUGAUACACAAACCAAUAAAAUUCAUAUAUAUAAAAGGAAUACUAAAUACUACUCUCCGUACUUAAUAAGUUUCUUACUUAGGCUAUA
rnacentral:lncRNA from 1 species